AUUCAUAGCGAUUUGUGUCCAUCUAGCGUGACACACAUUAGACUUCGCAAAAAAAGAAGUGAGCAUCGGUGCCGAAGCCCGUUCCAAAAUCUAUGGACUUUAUCCAGCGCAUGGGUAUAUCAUUCAGCACACAAUUCAUUUUGUCAGUUUGUUGGUAGGCUUCUUCCUGAUCAUCAUCUGUUAGAGUGUUUUUAUGUAACGGCUAUUUGUUGAAAGAGGGAUUGGUCCUCUUUUCUAUAUCCCGGCUGACAUUUAGUAGGAAUAACUCCACUACCCCGUAAUGAGUAGAUAUUCGGUUAUCAAAGUGUGAUACUACGAGUCAACAUUCUCUUCUUAUAUAUCUACCUAUCCAUUCUUUAGUGCAAAUGACUUCCAAAAAAGAGGUCAAACUCUCUAAUCCCCCCUCCUGCUUGGAGUUUGCCGAUAUGCGCUUUGUUAUUUUUGAUGCACCUAAUGAUGAUAAUCUAGGAAGCUACGCUGAUGCACUUAUCAAAUUCAAGGUUGGUACUAUUGUCCGCGUUUGCGAAGGCACUUACUCUCUAGAUUCUCUGUUAGUCAGAGGUUUUAAAUUUUACGAUCUUCCAUUUCCUGAUGGCGCAGUACCUCCAAAGUCAGUUGUCGAUACGUGGCUAUCCAUCGUUAAGGAAAAUAAAAGUUCGGGAGCCUCCGGUGAAAAUUAUGCUAUUGGAAUUCACUGCAUUGCAGGUCUUGGUCGCAUUACCUCGACAUAUUGGUCGCUUCAAUUUUACCCUUGCACAUUUAUUGAAGAAAGGGGCGCUAUAUUUGGUCUUUAGUACUCAUUUUUGUUCUAUUUGGCAACAAAACAUACUUUUCCAUUACUCUCUCAUUCAGGGCACCCGUUUUGGUUGCAAUUGCUCUAAUCGAGCACGGGAUGGAUGCCGUAUCAGCUGUCAAUCUUAUUCGAUCUAAGAGACGGGGCGCUAUUAAUAGAAUGCAACUACAGUAUCUAAAAAAAUACAAGAGAUCAAGCAAUAGUGGAUGCAACAUCAUUUGAUGUUACGAAAAGACGCGUGGCCUCUUCUAGCAACAAUGUAUUCUCGUUAUCUAUGCGACACUAUAUGGAUGCAAUAGCGGGUGACAAAUGCUUUCUAUCUAACCUCUAAAUACAUUUUGUGAACACGACAUGUAUUAAUGUAACAUAACAAGUUUUGCCGGCAAUCUUUGUAGACGCCGUCGAUGUA